UAUUAUUUCUAAGAAAACGUUCAGGUGUUCAACAACACAAAAGUAUAAAAACACAAAAGUAGUUGCUAAAUUUUUAUAUCAUCUUCUCCUUCCUUGAUAGCUAAGUGAUGGCAUAAACGUUUUGGAGUGUUGUCACCCUAUUGUAUGGCUGGUUUUGAAAGCAUAGAACUGGGAUUCUAAUAAAGUGUUCUAGAGAUUAAGGCUAAAAGAGCGACGAGACGAACGGGUUACGAAUAGCCGCUAACAGGUACAGACGAUCGAUUUGUUGAUCCGCCCGCUUAGGAUCCUAUUCUGCUAUCUUGGAAUGCUCCUUAGUCCGGAGCCUAUAUUUUGGGUACAGACUCUUCUGUUGCACAUAUGUAUGUUAUUCAGGGGUAUGACGGGGCCCUGUCCCGUCUUAUGAUUUGCUUGUUGUUCGUAGAGGUCUGUAGACAUACAUGUGGGUUGUGUAUAUGUUUUGGGUUACUAUGUUCUAUGAUAGCCUUAUCGG